rfam:Triticum aestivum genome assembly, contig: Triticum_aestivum_CS42_TGACv1_scaffold_405380_5BL
UAUAUACUACCUCCGUACGGAAAUACUUGUCAUUGAAACGAAUAAAAGAGGAUGUAUCUAGAUAUAUAUUAGUCCUAGAUACAUCCCUUUUUAUCCAUUUUGAUGACAAGUUUUUUCGGACGAAGGGAGUAUGUG